UUUCUUACCAAAUCCUACACCAUCCCAGGAGCUCCACCAACAAACACUCCCAUUAAUUCUACCUCUGCAAAAUGUGAUGAAAUCAAAGAAAAGAAUGAUGAUGUUGGGAUAUUAACCGAGAAAAAGGCGUAGCCAUAACUUGUGUAGAGUUAGUGGUAUUAGCUUCCUUUAUCAACGUCUACCCAAAAAAUUUCUUCACCUCCAAACUUUUAUUUUCAAGCAAGUAUAUGGAAAACUUUCCAACCUUCCAAUACCAAGUUUUCAAGCAUUCUUUAAGAAAGAGAGUUUCAAGUCUCAUCAUAGAAUCCCUUAUCAUCCUUUCCAGCUUCAUACUUAUCAAGCUGCAACCAAAGAGCUUAAACGGAAAGGAUGACUUGGCCGCGCCAUCCUAGCUUGUGAAAAUGACAGUAGGAAUCAAUCAACUCUGGAACAUUAGAUUUGUCGAUAGUCAAUCUGUUUUCUGUUUUGGACGUGAAACUUGUUUUUUUGACAGUACUUUUCAUUGAUCUAAACUACAUAUCUUUGUUUUCAUGGGAGAUUUUCUCAAUGAUCAAUAAAUGCUUAUUGUCCUGCUAAA